UACGGAGGGUGCAAGCGUUGUCCGGAUUUAUUGGGUUUAAAGGGUGCGUAGGCGGCUCGGAAAGUCGGUCGUGAAAUGCCGGGGCUCAACCCCGGGACUGCGUCCGAUACUCUCGAGCUGGAGGCAGGUAGGGGAGAUCGGAAUUCCUGGUGUAGCGGUGAAAUGCGCAGAUAUCAGGAGGAACACCGGUGGCGAAGGCGGAUCUCUGGGCCUUGCCUGACGCUGAGGCGCGAAAGCUAGGGGAGCGAUCCGG
rnacentral:rRNA from 1 species